AUUAAACGCUGGCGGCAUGCCUUACACAUGCAAGUCGAACGGCAGCACGGGGGCGAACCCUGGUGGCGAGUGGCGAACGGGUGAGUAAAGCAUCGGAACGUGCCCUGGAGUGGGGGAUAACGUAGCGAAAGUUACGCUAAUACCGCAUAUUCUGUGAGCAGGAAAGCAGGGGAUCGCAAGACCUUGCGCUCUGGGAGCGGCCGAUGUCGGAUUAGCUAGUUGGUGGGGUAAAGGCCUACCAAGGCGACGAUCCGUAGCGGGUCUGAGAGGAUGAUCCGCCACACUGGGACUGAGACACGGCCCAGACUCCUACGGGAGGCAGCAGUGGGGAAUUUUGGACAAUGGGCGAAAGUCUGAUGGAGCAAUACCGCGUGCAGGACGACGCUUUUCGGAGUGUAAACUGCUUUUGUCGUCGAAGAUUAUGACUGUAGACGAAGAAUAAGGACCGGCUAACUACGUGCCAGCAGCCGCGGUAAU
rnacentral:rRNA from 1 species